rnacentral:rRNA from 1 species
UACGGAGGGGGCGAGCGUUGUUCGGAAUUACUGGGCGUAAAGGGCGCGUAGGCGGCCUGUUGCGUCGGGUGUGAAAGCCCUGGGCUCAACCUGGGAGGUGCACUCGAAACGGGCAGGCUCGAAACCGAGAGAGGAUCGUGGAAUUCCCAGUGUAGAGGUGAAAUUCGUAGAUAUUGGGAAGAACACCAGAGGCGAAGGCGGCGAUCUGGCUCGGAUUUGACGCUGAGGCGCGACAGCGUGGGGAGCAAACAGG